CAAGAAGUUUGGUUGGCCUGUGAAUGUGACCUGGACUGCGUGAGAGAGAUGGAGCUGUAGAGAUCCACCUCCAUUUCCCAUGGCAGCUGGGAAAUGCUCAGAUGGAGGAAAGCUCUCAGGGGAGAACCGGAGGGUUUCUUUAUGGGCUAGAUGUGGAGAAGGAGAGAAAAAGAAGCCAAAGAUGACCUCUGUCUGACAUUGGAACUGCUGUUUCUUCCAUUUACUCCCUGCUGCUGGAAUUGGGUGGUAAAUGAGCUGCGGUAGUCCUACCCACCCCCACCACCCCAUCAUCUCCAAGUACAAGGUCCUCUGUACCACCCAGGCUCAGAAAAGACCAAGUGACCUUCCUGCAUUAGAGAAAUGAGACUUCUCCGGAGACGAACAGAAAUGCGGGUAGAAAAUGACUGAAAUUACUGGGUAUCAGGAGAUGAUGACCUGGGCGAGAGAGAAGAUGUCGGGGGAAGUGUCUGUGACUCAGUAAUGACACGAUGUGGAGCUGUUUGCUUAUUUUUUUCUGGCUUUUACUCCAGAUGAGCAGUUCUGGCUGUCACAUGGUGCAGGACAAAGUAGGAGUCCAGCUUUCAUAAAGGAGGCCCCAGGGUGAUGGUGGCAUGGGGUCCAGAGGUCCCCUGGUGUGACUGGACUGGAAAGGAGAGCUGAAAGGGAGAUGACAAGAGACAGGGGAGAAAAGAGCCAAACAGUAACCCACACCCAAGUGACAGAGAAGGGGACAGGGUAUAAUAGAUGUGGAGACGAGGAGCUGGCCAAGGCAAGCCUUAUAUUGUGAGGUGAUGGAAUGGCAUCCCACAGCUUCCAGAAGAGAUGCCUUAAGAGUGAAAAACCUUCCUUCUCACAGUCUGGCUCGAGAAAUCCAAGCCUGGGGUGUCAGCAGCGCCAUGAUUCUUCUGGAGUCCGGGGAGGAGCCUUCCUGCCCCUUCCAGUUCCUAUGGCUCCAGGCAUGCCUUGGCAUGUGCUAGAGUGCGCUGGGCUACUCGUGUGUUCUCCAUAGCUUUCCCCUCUCGCUGUUUUGUUUCCCUUCCUCUGGAGGAGGGAGGAUGCACCCCAAAUCCCUUUCCAUGUGGGCAGUAGAGAUCAG
rnacentral:lncRNA from 1 species